rnacentral:rRNA from 1 species
AGAGUUUGAUCCUGGCUCAGAACGAACGCUGGCGGCAGGCUUAACACAUGCAAGUCGAACGCACCGCAAGGUGAGUGGCAGACGGGUGAGUAACACGUGGGAACCUACACUUCGGUACGGAACAACUCAGGGAAACUUGUGCUAAUACCGUAUACGCCCCAAGGGGGAAAGAUUCAUCGCCGAAGGAUGGGCCCGCGUCGGAUUAGCUUGUUGGUGAGGUAAUGGCUCACCAAGGCGAUGAUCCGUAGCUGGUCUGAGAGGAUGAUCAGCCACACUGGGACUGAGACACGGCCCCGACUCCUACGGGAGGCAGCAGUGGGGAAUAUUGGACAAUGGGCGAAAGCCUGAUCCAGCCAUGCCGCGUGAGUGAAGAAGGCCUUAGGGUUGUAAAGCUCUUUUACCCGGGAAGAUAAUGACUGUACCGGGAGAAUAAGCUCCGGCUAACUUCGUGCCAGCAGCCGCGGUAAUUC